GGAAAAGGAGAUGGCAGAAAUCUAGUUUUACUGCAGAGGAACGAGGAUGAGACUUUAAUUCUGCCUUGAGGAGGACCACUGGGAAGGUUUCAUAGAAGAAGCUUCGCGAAAGAAGAUUGGCGUUGAAAACAGUGAUAGAAUCUUGAUGUUAGAAGGAAGAUGAGCGAGCAAAUGAAGAAAUAGCGUAAAUAAAAGGAAAAGGAGGCAAAAAUACAAGGCUUCUCCGGUGAGCACUGCGAGGUGUCACAUGGCCCAAAGGCAUUGUGCUGUGAGACUGGUGUCGUGGCCAAGGCCGGUUCACGGAGGCCUUGAAUGCCUUGCCAGGAAGUUCGAUAUUAUUUUGAAAUCCGUAAGAAAAAACGGAAGUGGCUUUGGUUUUUAAAGUUAAAACUCACUUUUCCAAAGAUCACACCAGGAAGAUUAAUGGCAGCAGUGGGUAUCAGUGUGGGUAGGGCAGAGAACCAUCAGGGAACUGAGGCAGCUGGCCAGAUGGCAAAGCGUAAUGACCUCAGUGACGGUGACAAUGUAGAGUUCACAUUGGGAGGCCUCAUGGAGCCGACAUUCCCAGCCAGCCAGGCCAUCUCAUCAGAAAUCCUGGAUUCCAGAAUGGGCUCUCAACAAACAAUCUCCCAUCUUGUCUCUCCCGCCACACCCACAGCUGCCUCCUUUCCAGCUGCCUUCUGGCCCCUUGAUGUCUGCAGCCUCACCCCUCAGACCGACAGGUCCCGCCCUUGUUCCCAGCCUCCGGCUGCACCCAGAGCUCUGUGGCAUCUGGUGGAGGUGAUGUGGCCUGGGACUCAGGCUCGUUCACCCUCAGGCACUAUUCCCUGAGCCGUCCCUGUGAGAAUCACCUUGCUGGCCCUCUCAUCUGGAAUGUCAGCUGCGUGUCACUCACUCCCGGGGAGCCCCCUCCUCGUUUCACUCCUACACGCUCUGUCACAGCCUUUAGGACACAUCCUCCGAGAAGCAGGACCAUCCCCUUCAUUCCCUUCUUCCCCUCCCACUAAGUCAUGGAGCCCUGGAGCACCUGCAGCAAUGAAUCAUUUUCUGUGCUUGUGUCAUCCUGCCCCACCAGUGCAUUCUAGUGCACAGACGCUCUUCAGCUCAUAAUGGGGCUAUAUCCCAAGGGGUCCAGCAUUAGUUGAAAAUAGCGUAGGUCAAAAAUGCAUUUAAUACACUUAAUCUGUGGAACAUUGGAGCUUAACCUGGUCUACCUUAAAUGUGCUUGGAACAUUUAACAUUAGCCCCUGCUAGGCAAAAAUCAUCUAACAAAGCCUGUUUUAUAGUAAAGUGUUGCAUACAUCAUGUAAUUUGCUGCACACUGUACUGAAAGUGAAAAACAGAAUAACUGCACGGCUGCUCACAUUAACACACACAGCUGAAAAGACCAGCACGUGGUUGGAAACUCACAAGUCCAACCAUCCAAAGUUAGGGUCUGUCUGCCUGUACGCACCUUCCAAGUCUCUGCUACAAGUAGUGACAAGAUCUUGGGCC
rnacentral:lncRNA from 1 species